UUUUGAGAGGUGUGCUCUGCCAACUCUUCCUUCCCCAAAGUCGUCCUUUUUUCCCAGGCUUCUUGAGACUGCCUUGGUUAGACUCUUGCAUAGCUUAGCAGUUUGAUUCAAGUCAACUGUGAAGAAGUUAGAGCGGGCACCCUGUAUAUGCAUAAAGUUCAAGAUAAAUUGUACCGUUCGUAGUUUUGUUGUGAAUAUUGAUUACUUUCUGUAAUUAUUUAUAAGAGCUUGGGUAAAUGAGAGGCGUGUGGCUAUCCUUGAAGUGCCAGUUUGCUUAUAAAAUUAUAAAAGCUUCGUUUC